GCGACAUUCGCCAAGUGGUAAGGCCGAAGGCUUCCAACCUUCUAUCGCGGGUUCGAAUCCCGCAUGUCGCUCCA
rnacentral:tRNA from 1 species